UGCCAGCCGCCGCGGUAAUACGGAGGGUGUAAACGUUGCUCGGAAUCAUUGGGCGUAAAGCGCGCGUAGGCGGUCCGUUAAGUUGGAUGUGAAAGCCCGGGGCUCAACCCCGGAAGUGCAUCCAAAACUGGCGGACUAGAAUCUCGGAGGGGGUCGGAGAAUUCCCGGUGUAGAGGUGAAAUUCGUAGAUAUCGGGAGGAAUACCAGUGGCGAAGGCGCCGACCUGGACGAUGAUUGACGCUGAGGUGCGAAAGCAUGGGGAGCGAACAGGAUUAGAUA
rnacentral:rRNA from 1 species